ensembl:lncRNA
GGGGUUAUUAUGGGAUGGGGGGGUUAUUGCGGGGGUAUUGUGGGAUGGGUGGGGUUAUUAUGGGAUGGAUGGGGUUAUUGUGGGGUUAUUAUGGGAUGGGGGGGUUAUUGCGGGGGUAUUGUGGGAUGGGUGGGGUUAUUGUGGGGGUAUUAUGGGAUGUGUGGGGUUAUUAUGGGAUGGAUGGGGUUAUUGUGGGGUUAUUAUGGGAUGGGGGGGUUAUUGCGGGGGUAUUAUGGGAUGUGAGGGGUUAUUAUGGGGUUAUUAUGGGAUGGGUGGGGUUAUUGUGGGGGUAUUGUGGGAUGGGGGGUUAUUAUGGGAUGUGUGAGGGGUUAUUGUGGGAUGGGGGGGGUUAUUGUGGGGUAUUAUGGGAUGGGGGGGGUUAUUGUGAGGGUAUUAUGGGAUGGGGUUAUUGCGGGGGUAUUAUGGGAUGGGGGGGGUUAUUAUGGGAUUGGGGGGUUAUUAUGGGAUGGGUGGGGUUAUUGGAUAAGGUAUUAUGGGAUGGGGGGGUUAUUGUGGGGUAUUAUGGGAUGGGGGGGUUAUUGUGGGGGUUAUUAUGGGAUGGGGGGGGUUAUUAUGGGGUUAUUAUGGGAUGGGGGGGUUUUUGGGGGGGUUAUUAUGGGAUGGGGGAGGUUAUUAUGGGAUGUGAGGCGUUAUUGUGGGGUUAUUAUGGGGGUAUUAUGGGAUGGGGGGGUCAUUGUGGGGUUAUUAUGGGAUGUGAGGGGUUAUUAUGGGGUUAUUAUGGGAUGUGAGGGGUUAUUAUGGGGUUAUUGUGGGAUGGGUGGGGUUAUUAUGGGAUGGGGGGGUUAUUAUGGGGUUAUUAUGGGAUGGGGGGGUUAUUGUGGGGGUAUUAUGGGAUGGGUGGGGUUAUUGUGGGGUUACUAUGGGAUGUGAGGGGUUAUUAUGGGGUUAUUGUGGGAUGGGGGGUUAUUAUGGGAUGUGUGAGGGGUUAUUAUGGGAUGGGUGGGGUUAUUGUGGGGGUAUUAUGGGAUGUGAGGGGUUAUUAUGGGAUGGGGGGGUUAUUGUGGGGUAUUAUGGGAUGGGGGGGUUAUUGUGAGGGUAUUAUGGGAUGGGGUUAUUGCGGGGGUAUUAUGGGAUGGGGGGGGUUAUUGCGGGGGUAUUAUGGGAUGUGGGGGUUUUUGGGGGGGUUAUUAUGGGAUGGGGGAGGUUAUUAUGGGAUGUGAGGCGUUAUUGUGGGGUUAUUAUCGGGGUAUUAUGGGAUGGGGGGGGUCAUUGUGGGGUUAUUAUGGGAUGUGAGGGGUUAUUAUGGGAUGGGGGGGUUAUUAUGGGGUUAUUGUGGGAUGUGUGGGGUUAUUAUGGGAUGGGUGAGCGGUUAUUGUGGGGUUAUUAUGGGAUGGGGGGGUUAUUGUGGGGGUAUUAUGGGAUGUGAGGGGUUAUUAUGGGGUUAUUGUGGGAUGGGGGGUUAUUAUGGGAUGUGUGAGGGGUUAUUGUGGGGGUAUUAUGGGAUGGGGGGGGUUAUUGCGGGGGUAUUAUGGGAUGGGGGGGUUAUUGGGGGGGUAUUAUUGGAUUGGGGGAGUUAUUGGAUAAGGUAUUACAGGCUAAGGUAUAUGGGGUGGGGUUAUGGGGUGCAGGGCUAUGGGAUAUGGGGCCGCAGGGAUAUGAGGAUGUGGGGUUAUGGGGUUACUGGGCUGUGGGGUUAUGGGGUUAGGAGUUUAUUGGGUUAUGGGGUUAUUGGGUUGUGGGGUUACUGAGCUGUGGGGUUAUGGGAAUGUGGGUUUAUGGGGUUAUUGGGGGUAUGGGAAUGUGGGGUUAUGGGGUUAUUGGGGGUAUGGGAAUGUGGGGUUAUGGAGUUCCUGGGCUGUGGGGUUAUGGGGUUAUGGGGUUAUUGGGUUAUAGGGCUACAGGGUCGUGGGGUUAUGGGAUUGUGGGGUUAUUGGGUUAUUGGGCUGUGGGGUUAUGGGGUUGUGGGGUUAUUGGGUUAUGGGAACGUGGGGUUAUUCGGUUAUGGGGUUAUUGGUUUAUAGGGUUAUUGGGCUGUGGGGCUACAGGGCUGUGAGGAUAUGGGGUUGUAGGGUUACUGGGUUAUGAGAAUGUGGGGUUAUGGGGUUAUUGGGGUUAUGGGAACGUGGGGUUAUGGGGUUAUUGGGCUGUGGGUUUACUGAGCUGUGGGGUUAUGGGAACGUGGGGUUAUGGGGUUAUGGGGCUGCGCGGUUAUGGGGUUAUUGGGGUUAUGGGAACGUGGGGUUAUGGGGUAGUGGGGUUAUUGGGGCGUACGGUUAUGGGGUUAUGGGGCCGUGGGUUACAGCGGCCAAAUAAGUCACCAUUUCCGCUGCCUCCGCGCCUUGCUGAGCUCCCGCCGCCUCUUGAACAGCUUCCGGCGCAGCUCCUGCGGGACGGAACCGUUACCGUUAGCGGGACCGGAACCGGAAGUGAAGCCUCGACUCCCCCUCACCCCCCACUCCCGGUUUCCCGCCGCGCACCGUUUUCGGGCGGUUGAUUUUCCCCCCGAUCCCCAUGGCGCACGUGCCACUUCCGGCCGGGCCCACUUCCGGCUCCCCCCGACUUCCGGCCACUCCCCUUUCCGCUCUGCGCCACGAGGCUCUUCCCCUCACUUCCGCUCCUCACCCCCUUCAUCCCUCCUUUCCUCUCUCCCCAUUGGUUACCCGUCGCCACCGCCGCGCGUGAUUGGCUCCCUUCCGGACACCGCCGCUUCUGAUUGGCCGAGCGGGGCACAAAAGGCGCCGCGUGGAAGCGGGGCGGCCAUUUUGCGGCGGAGCGGCGAAGGGAGCGGAGGGUCUGCCAAUGGACGGCAACGAAGACGAGAGGUGUGGGGCUGCCCCAUAGCGACAUGUGGGGCUGCCCCAUAGGGUGCUGUGCCCCAUAGCCACGCGUGGGGCUGCCCCAUAGAGUGCUCUGCCCCAUAGCAAUGUGUGGGGCUGCCCCAUAGGGUGCUGUGCCCCAUAGCCACGCGUGGGGCUGCCCCAUAGGGUGCUGUGCCCCAUAGCCACGCGUGGGGCUGCCCCAUAGAGUGCUCUGCCCCAUAGCGACGUGUGGGGCUGCCCCAUAGAGCACUGUGCCCCAUAGCGACGUGUGGGGCUGCCCCAUAGUGUGCUCUGCCCCAUAGCGACGUGUGGGGCUGCCCCAUAGCGUGCUCUGCCCCAUAGCGAUGUGUGGGGCUGCCCCAUAGAGCACUGUGCCCCACAGCGCCCCACAACAUUCAAUGGAUCCCCAAAUAAAGGCGUUUCUCCCCCUCAAAAGUGUGGUUAUGGGGUUACGGGAUGUGGGGUU